UCAAACAUGUCUGUUUGUGUUUUAUAAAAAGUCUAGCCUGCCCACUGAAUUUUUAAAGGGCCGCGGUAAUUUGACCGUGCGAAGGUAGCAUAAUCAGUAGUCUUUUAAUUGGAGGCUUGUAUGAAUGGUUGGAUGAGAAACGUUCUGUCUUUUUUUUAUAAUUAGAAUUUAACUUUUAAGUGAAAAGGCUUAGAUUUUUGGGGGGACGAUAAGACCCUAUAAAACUUUAUAUAUUUUUAUCUUAUCUGGUAAUUGUUUUUAACUUGGAUUUGGUUAAAUUAUAUUUCGUUGGGGAAAUGUUGAUAUAAUUUGUAAUUGUUUAUAAAAUUUAAUAGUGAUUGUUAGAUUAUGAUCCUUUAUUAUGGAUUAAAAGAUUAAGUUACUUUAGGGAUAACAGCGUAAUUUUCUUUGAGAGUUCUUAUCGACAAGAUUAGUUGCGACCUCGAUGUUGAAUUAAAAUUUCAGGCUGGUGCAGGAGUUAGUCUGGUGGGUCUGUUCGACCUUUAAAAUUUUACAUGAUUUGAGUUCAAACCGGUGUGAGCCAGUG
rnacentral:rRNA from 1 species